rnacentral:rRNA from 1 species
GACGAACGCUGGCGGCGUGCCUAAUACAUGCAAGUUGAGCGCUGAAGGUUGGUACUUGUACCGACUGGAUGAGCAGCGAACGGGUGAGUAACGCGUGGGGAAUCUGCCUUUGAGCGGGGGACAACAUUUGGAAACGAAUGCUAAUACCGCAUAAAAACUUUAAACACAAGUUUUAAGUUUGAAAGAUGCAAUUGCAUCACUCAAUGAUGAUCCCGCGUUGUAUUAGCUAGUUGGUGAGGUAAAGGCUCACCAAGGCGAUGAUACAUAGCCGACCUGAGAGGGUGAUCGGCCAAAUUGAGACUGAGACAAGCCCCAAACUCCUACGGGAGGCAGCAGUAGGGAACCUUAGGCACUGGACGAAAGUCUGACCGAGCAACGCCGCGUGAGUGAAGAAGGUUUUCGGAUCGUAAAACUCUGUUGGUAGAGAAGAACGUUGGUGAGAGUGGAAAGCUCAUCAAGUGACGGUAACUACCCAGAAAGGGACGGCUAACUACGU